rnacentral:rRNA from 1 species
UGGGGAAUAUUGGACAAUGGGCGCAAGCCUGAUCCAGCAAUGCCGCGUGUGUGAAGAAGGCCUUCGGGUUGUAAAGCACUUUUAUCAGGAGCGAAACGCUGUCGGCUAAUACCCGGCGGAACUGACGGUACCUGAGGAAUAAGCACCGGCUAACUUCGUGCCAGCAGCCGCGGUAAUACGAAGGGUGCAAGCGUUAAUCGGAAUUACUGGGCGUAAAGCGUGCGUAGGCGGUUUCUUAAGUCUGCUGUGAAAUCCCCGGGCUCAACCUGGGAAUGGCAGUGGAUACUGGGAGGCUAGAGUGUGUCAGAGGGGGGUGGAAUUCCCGGUGUAGCGGUGAAAUGCGUAGAGAUCGGGAGGAACAUCAGUGGCGAAGGCGGCCACCUGGGACAACACUGACGCUGAGGCACGAAAGCGUGGGGAGCAAACAGGAUUAGAUACCCUGGUAGUCCACGCCCUAAACGAUGCGAACUGGAUGUUGGUCUCAACUCGGAGAUCAGUGUCGAAGCUAACGCGUUAAGUUCGCCGCCUGGGGAGUACGGUCGCAAGACUG